rnacentral:lncRNA from 10 species
UGGCCUCAGCGAAGAUGGGCCGGGCAGGGACCAUGGCGGUGGCAGCAGAGGUGGCAGGGGCGGGGCGGCUGGCGGUAGAGGAGGCUGUGGUCCUCAGGGGGCUGUAGGUGGAGGUAUGGCUCGGGCCAGCAGCGGGAACGGCAGCGAGGAGGCCUGGGGGGCACUUCGGGCGCCGCAACAGCAGGUAUCCCAAUAGCUCCAAAACCUAUCACGACAGCCAUUUGUCUCUUUCCCCUUUCCUUGUCCCUUCCUUUUGGGGGUGGGGGAGGAACUCACGGAGCCAAAGGUACUGUGAAGUUCCUAAACAUGUCUCUUCCACUCUUUGUCUAAACUUUGUAACGUAGAUGCAGCUGACUUUGCCUGUAGCCUCAUAGAACCCAUCCCAUGGCUGCAGUGGAAGCUUGCGGUGGCUCUCCAGUGACCAGAGGCAUAGUGAGGUCCCAGGGAGGCUCCCUCUGUCUUGCAACAGUUAUUUGUGAUCUUUUUCUAUGUGCCUAUUGUCACAACAGAGUCCGGCAGCGUCUUCUCUUGAGGGAGCAAUUUGGAGAAGAGCUGGAACCCAGACUCGCGCCCUGGAUGCCAUCCUUUAUCAUCCACAGCAAUCCCAUCUGGUUGGGAGCACUGCUCUGGACUGAUUCUUGCUAUUCCAAAUCCUCUUCCACGUUGACAGCCCUUCAGAUAUUUCAACACUCCUCUCAGCAUCCUCCACUUCCCCCAUCUCUCCAAGCUGAACUUGGUUCACAGGGUGGGAUUGUCUUCGAGAGCUGUGCCCAGGAGUGAACAACCAGCCCUACCUCUGUGAGAGUGGUCACUGCUGCGGGGAGACUGGCUGCUGCACCUACUACUAUGAGCUCUGGUGGUUCUGGCUGCUCUGGACUGUCCUCAUCCUCUUUAGCUGCUGUUGCGCCUUCCGCCACCGACGAGCUAAACUCAGGCUGCAACAACAGCAGCGGCAGCGUGAAAUCA